GCUUACGGCCAAACCGCCUGGUUAACGCCCCGAUCUCGUUUGAUCUCGGAAGUUAAGAUAGGUUGGGCCUGGUUAGUACUUGGAUGGGAGACCGCCUGGGAUUACCAGGUGCUGUAAACU
ensembl:rRNA 5S_rRNA 5S ribosomal RNA